GGCGGGAUAGCUCAGCUUGGUAGAGCAAACGGCUCAUACCCGUUCGGUCGGUGGUUCCCCGCCA
rnacentral:tRNA from 1 species